GUAUACUUCCGGCAUGGGGGUUGAAGCAAUCUCCUGAUCGAGAUUUCGCCACACGCUCGUCAUGUCACAAACCGAUCUCGAGCAAAUUGGGCAAGAGAAUCGGCAAUGAUGUCUCAUCUCGUUUAAGCAAUCCAAAUGUAUUGUGUGACCGCAGGAUAAAACACUGAUGUCUUUCAACGAAUCAAACAUAUACUCAUAGCAAACCGGGC
rnacentral:misc_RNA from 1 species